UACGUAGGUGGCAAGCGUUGUCCGGAUUUACUGGGCGUAAAGAGCGCGCAGGCGGUCAGAUAAGUCGCGUGUGAAAGCCCCCGGCUCAACUGGGGAGGGUCACGCGAUACUGAUCGACUCGAAGGCAGGAGAGGGUAGUGGAAUUCCCGGUGUAGUGGUGAAAUGCGUAGAUAUCGGGAGGAACACCAGUGGCGAAGGCGACUACCUGGCCUGUUCUUGACGCUGAGGCGCGAAAGCUAGGGGAGCAAACGGG
rnacentral:rRNA from 1 species